AAACUGUUAAAACGUGUCACGAGUAUGUUCUCCAUCCUUCAGGGCUAUUUAAAGUUGAGGAAGGUAAAUCUUCGCUUCUCAGGCUCCAAUCCUCGGCCACAUUUGAGCCAAUGGUAGGACGAACGAGACUGCUUUAGCCAAUGACAAACUAGUCUGAGUACGCGCUCCGUUGGACGACGACGGUCAUGGACUGGAGUAGUGUCCUUUUCGGUGUAACAAACUUUUAGCAUUUAGUUUCGAUACGGACAAAACGGAGUGAGGUGGGGGGAGCUGCUUCGAGCAGUAAUGGGGGAUAUUGAGGGUUCAUACCGGGCCCUGCAGACCCCUGGCAUAAGGCUGGGAGCCCAGUUCAAUGCUGGGAUCAGCACUUUGGAGCCGGGCCAGAGCCUCAGUGGCAACAUGACCACCCGGAGCAAAGGUCAUGGGCGAGAACUACAAAUCCGUGUGCAGGGGCUGGACGACUCCCAGGAGUUCUUUGAUAUUGACCCUAAAGCUAUUGGACAGGUCCUCCUUUCUGAGGUUUUCCGGAGAGGCAACCUCAUAGAGAGUGAUUACUUUGGCCUCGAGUUUCAGAACAUGCAGAUGAACUGGGUUUGGCUUGAACCCACAAAACCUGUUAUUAGACAAGCUCGAAGACCAGCAAAUACGCUUUUUAGACUGUCAGUGAAAUUCUUUCCUCCAGACCCCGGUCAACUGCAGGAGGAGUACACAAGGUACUUAUUCUCGCUGCAGAUGAAACGAGAUCUGAUGGAGGGCAUGUUGAUUUGCACAGAAAAUACUGGAGCUCUGCUGGCCUCUCACCUCGUCCAGUCGGAGAUUGGCGACUAUGAUGAUUUAGCAGACAGGGACUUCCUGAGGUUGACCAAGCUGUUGCCUUACCAAGAGAAGGUGCAGGAGAGGAUUAUGGAGCUCCACCGCAGGCACCUGGGCCAGACUCCAGCUGAAUCAGACUUCCAAAUCCUGGAGAUUGCCCGUAAACUGGAGAUGUAUGGUGUCCGCUUCCACCCAGCAGCUGACCGAGAAGGCACCAAAAUUAAUCUGGCUGUUGCUCAUAUGGGCCUUCAGGUUUUUCAGGGCCACACAAAAAUAAAUACUUUCAAUUGGUCCAAGAUUCGCAAACUGAGCUUCAAGAGAAAACGGUUCCUUAUCAAGCUCCACCCAGAGGUUCAUGGCCCCCAUCAGGAUACUCUUGAGUUUAUGAUGGCCAGUCGAGACCAAUGUAAAAUCUUUUGGAAGAUCUGUGUGGAAUACCACUCAUUCUUCCGUUUGUUUGACCAACCCCAACCCAAAUCCAAAACGAUCCUCUUCACCAGAGGCUCUUCCUUCAGAUACAGUGGAAGGACCCAGAAGCAACUUGUGGACUAUGCCCGCGAAAAUGGAGCAAAGAGAACUCCAUACCAGAGGAGGAACAGUAAAAUACGAAUGUCUGCUCGCUCCCUAGCCACAGAUGUGCCAAAACAGAGCUUGUCAUUCAAUGACAGCCUCAGGGCCCCAGGCUCCCCCUUCUCCACUACUGUGUCCUUCUACCCAGCGCACAUCUCCAGCGUUCCCCCGCGAACAGAACUUCAAACUCAGCCACAGCCUUUUCCCACGCUGAGCCGGUCUCCCGCACCUCCCCAGCAGCAACAGCAGCUUCAGUCCCCUCUGCAAGCUACCGGACCCCCCAGCCCUCCGAAGGAAGAACCCAUCAAGGCUGCUUCCCCAUCUCACUACAUUUUUCAAGAUACAGUCGUGGACAGCCCUCAGGUCUCACCCUUCAACUCCAAAGAUGCCCUCUGCCUGUCGCCCUCCUUCCAGAUGUCGACCCUCAGCCUGCCAGGCCAAGCUCCGUCGCCCCUGCAAAGCCCCAUCCUAAACGAGGUGGGCAGCAAUGCCAAGCUAGACGAGGAGGAAGAGGGCAGGAGGAAGCGAUAUCCCACCGACAAGGCCUACUUCAUUGCCAAAGAGAUUCUGACCACAGAGCGGACGUACCUGAAAGACCUCGAGGUUAUCACUGUGUGGUUUCGUAGCGCUGUGAUCAAAGAAAACGCCAUGCCCGAAGGCCUGAUGACCCUCCUCUUCUCCAACAUAGACCCCAUCUAUGAGUUCCAUCGAGGCUUUCUCAAGGCGUUAGACCAGAGGUUGGCUCUCUGGGAGGGACGCUCUAAUGCUCACGUCAAAGGGGACUACCAGAGGAUUGGUGAUGUGAUGCUGAGGAACAUGUGUGCUCUAAAAGAAUUCACCAGCUUCCUGCAGAAACAUGAUGAGGUGUUAACAGAGCUGGAGAAAGCCACCAAGAGGCUGAAGAAGCUUGAGACGGUGUACAAAGAGUUUGAGCUGCAGAAAGUCUGCUACUUGCCCCUCAACACAUUCCUGCUCAAGCCCAUCCAACGCCUCAUGCACUACAAACUCAUCCUGGAGAGACUGUGCAAGCAUUAUUCUCCCACCCACCGUGAUCAUGACUCCUGCAAGGAGGCUCUGAAGGAAGUGGCUGAGAUAGCCACUCAGCUCCAGAGCAGUCUCAUCCGACUGGAGAAUUUCCAGAAGCUAACAGAGCUGCAGAGAGACCUGAUUGGUAUAGAGAACUUAACAGCGCCAGGCAGGGAGUUCAUACGAGAGGGAUGUCUAUACAAGCUUACCAAGAAAGGACUGCAGCAAAGGAUGUUUUUCCUGUUCUCAGACAUGCUCCUCUACACAAGCAAAGGUGUUACAGCGACCAAUCAGUUCAAAGUGCAUGGCCAGCUGCCCCUUCACGGCAUGAUCCUCAUAGUGCUGGAUACACCGGCUGAGGAAAGUGAAAAUGAGUGGUCGGUCCCCCACUGCUUCACCAUCUACUCUGCUCAGAGGACCAUUGUUGUGGCUGCCAGCUCUCAAGUGGAGAUGGGGAAGUGGAUUGAAGACCUAAACAUGGCUAUUGACAUGGCCAAGAAGUCCCAAGAGAAAUCCAGCAUCUUUUUUGACGCUGGACUCGGCGAUCACUCAAACCGAUCGUCUGAUGAGGUUUCACUGGAGCAGGAGUCAGAGGACGACAUGAACUCCUCCCGCACAUCUCUGGACAGACAGACACACCACCGCGCCAACACCACCAUGCAUGUGUGCUGGCAUCGCAACACCAGUGUGUCUAUGUCUGAUCACAGCCAGGCGGUGGAGUCUACGGCUCUCCGACUAUCUCACCAGAGCUUCCUCCCCGCUAUCUCCUCGGUCAGGGCCAAAGACCAAACACCAUCACACAUGUUUGCUGGUACCGAAACCAGAACCUCUCGCUCGCUGAUUAUCUGCGCAUGAACCAGAACCAGCUGUCAGGUUACCUCCUGAGGAAGUUCAAGAACAGUAAUGGCUGGCAGAAACUCUGGGUUGUUUUCACCAACUUCUGCUUGUUCUUCUACAAGACUCACCAGGAUGACUUCCCGCUGGCUAGCCUCCCCCUGCUCGGUUACACGGUCAGCACCCCCGAAGAGUCGGACAGCAUUCACAAGGAGUACGUCUUCAAGCUGCAGUUCAAGUCCCAUGUUUACUUUUUCCGGGCAGAAAGCGAGUACACC